GGGGUCUUCGUUCUAAUGGUAAGAUCUCGCUUUUGCACAGCGAAGACAAGGGUUCGAUUCCCUUAGACUCCA
rnacentral:tRNA from 1 species